UACAGAGGGGGCAAGCGUUAUUCGGAAUUAUUGGGCGUAAAGGGCGCGUAGGCGGUCGUGCAAGUGGAAGGUGAAAUCCCUCGGCUCAACCGAGGAACUGCCUUUCAAACUGCAUGACUUGAGUCCGGGAGAGGUGAGUGGAAUUCCCAGUGUAGCGGUGAAAUGCGUAGAUAUUGGGAGGAACACCAGUGGCGAAGGCGGCUCACUGGACCGGAACUGACGCUGAGGCGCGAAAGCUAGGGGAGCAAACGGG
rnacentral:rRNA from 1 species